rnacentral:rRNA from 1 species
GUGAACGUUGGCGGUGCGUCUAAUACAUGCAAGUCGAGCGAGGCUUCGAGCCGAGCGGCAGACGGCUGAGUAACACGUUGGUAACUGCCCCGAAUUCAGGGAUAACCAUGAGAAAUCAUGGCUAAUACCGGAUGGUCCCGCAAGGGUAAAGCUUUUGCGAUUCGGGAGGUGCCUGCGGCCUAUCAGCUUGUUGGUAAGGUAACGGCUUACCAAGGCUAUGACGGGUAGUUGGUCUGAGAGGAUGAUCAACCAGAGGGAAACUGAGAUACGGUUCCCACUCCUACGGGAGGCAGCAGUAAAGAAUCUUCCACAAUGGGCGAAAGCCUGAUGGAGCGACACCGCGUGCAGGAUGAAGGCCUUCGGGUCGUAAACUGCUUUUUUGGGGGAAUAAUUCUGAAGGUACCCUAAGAAUAAGCACCGGCUAAUCACGU